ACAGUUACUCCCAUAUUGAAGAUGCAGAGUUUGCACACAGAGAAGUAACUUGCCAAAAAGUCACAGAUGUCAAGAAUGGUGGAGCUCAAGCAGCUUAGCACCUACAUCUGUCUCCACCCACUACAAGCUGGCAGCCUCUGGACGCAGCCUGAGAGCCAAUAGCUACACUUUCAGGCAUGAACACAUGGAGAAGCUCAAGGGGGGAAACAGUUAUGGUUUUCUUCUCCUGUGGAAACCCAAAGGGCCAAGGAGCCUGAGGCUAAGGAGCCUUUCACUGAAGGGCCCAGCAGGCCAGGGACCGCCAGAGCAAAUGAGUGCCCUUCUGUGACAGCUUACUACCAGCCAAGCCUGACUGAGGAGUAUGAUGAAGACAGCCCAGGAGGGGAUUUUGACUUUUUCUCCAACCUGGUAACCAAAUGGGAAGCAGCAGCCAGGCUUCCUGGAGAGUCUACACGCCAGGUCGUGGUACGUUCAGGUGAGGACCAAGGGCCUGGGAACCAAGCAAAGUAGAAGAUUUCUGGGCUGAGGAG
rnacentral:lncRNA from 1 species